UCCCUUCUUCCUCGGUGAGGGAAUGUAUUCUUUGCUCUAUAAACCUCAAAAUUCCUCCAAAAUGGACAAGAUUUCAACAGGGCAAAAAGACAUCUUCAGUUUAGGUUUGACCUGGUGAUUGGUUUUCGCUGUCUGGAGGUUCAUGACAGAUAGGUGGGAUCACGGAAAUGCUAUUGAGCAUGAGCCACACUCCUUGCAACUUUUGGACAGGUGUAAAUGCUCGUGCUGACGUGUCUUGGAAAAGGACAGAAAAGGUGGGUUGCAAUUGUUUCUUUCCUCUCAGAGGCAGCCCAUUAGCCCAAAAGAAUGGCCAGCACGCUGUCUGGUGGCACUUCUUUCAAGAUGGCUACCUCCUGCAGACUUGAUUGAAAUGAGCUUUCCAAAGAGCAGGAAGCUAAAGGCUUUAGACAUCAGAAUCUGGGACUCCUGGUCGUUCCAGUUUCUACUGAGUCUGCGCAAUAGCCCUAGAGGCAGGACAGCCAGGCCAGUGGGUGGAAGCGGAUGUGCAGUGUAGGAAGCCUUAUACUUUCAUGGCAGCAGGUCACUGUAGAAGUUAAGGCAAAGUUUCAGUUUCUGUGAACUGCUGGAAUGCGCCACUGUAGGGAUUCGUGACUUGGGGAUGUGGCAGGUGAUGCGUGAGGGUAUUCAUUGGGGUUGGUUAAAGGCAGCUUCUAAAGUGUCUGGGGCGAAUGUCCUAAAGACAUCAUUGUGUUUACAAGAAUACCUUGUGGGUGGAAAAGGAAUGACAGACGUAAGGGUUGUUUCCUGGGGCAGUGACAGGGCGGCUCCAGAUCUUGGCAUUGGGAGACCCACUAGCUUUCAGGGAAUGGUCUUUGAGAGCAUAGGCUGCUGGCUUGGUCAUCUGGGGCUUCUGUCUGUAUUUUGGGUUUGAGGAGUUGAAGAGUCUGUGUUAGGGUCUGUGUGAAAUAAGGUGUCUGGGGAGUUGUGAACAGGAGCAAAUGUGAGGUGUGGGGAUAUGGGGGCAUUAUGGGUGUCAGUGCUAGGAGAUGGCUGAUGAGCUUAGUAGUUAGGACUCAGGAGAGAAGUUUGGGUGCAAUAUGAAUUUUCAACGUAUGGGAAAGUUGAAAGAAUAGUAACCCACCACUUACAUAUUCAACAAUUAUUUACACUGUUUUAUAAAUACUUAAUGUAUAUUUGUAUGUGUGUAUCUGUACU
rnacentral:lncRNA from 1 species